AAUGAAUGAAUGAAUGAAUACUUUAUUCUCUUAAAACAAUUGUUACAGAGAACAUAUACAUAUUAACAAUAUACAAACUUAUAUAGCAUGUGUGAAUUACAUAUACAUAUAUAAAGUGAUACUAAGAAGUUCUAACCUGGAGGAACGACCUUCUCUUGGACGUUCUUAAUAAAUUUACAUAGUUUUUCUAAUACAAUUACAUUGUUGGAAGCAAAUAGCUGUUCAAACUUAUAAAUGUUAACAUUUUCGUGACAAAAAGGGGGAAGCAGAUUUAUUCUUUCAUUGAUAAAGUAGCUACAUGUCAUUAUAUAGUGGUAUUCAUCACCGAUAUCCAUAGAGUCACACAGAGAGCACACUCUUUCGCUUCUUGGCAAAUUGCGCCAUCUCCCGGUCUCGACCGGUAAUCUGUGACUACCACAUCUAAAUUUACAAAGGAUGUACAUAUAAUAGGGUGAUAACUCUGAGAUAUAUUUUUCAAAACAAAAAUGAGUUUUAAAUAAUCUAUAGCACAAUGCCUUAGGAGACUUGAACAUUUCUGAAUACCAAAAUUGUAUAAAUUGAUCCUUAAGUUUCUGUUCAAUACACUUUGAAAUCCAUAAUGACGAAAAAACAGUUUGGUUUUGCCAAACAUUUGACAUACCAC
rnacentral:lncRNA from 1 species